UCUCAUGUCAUCACCAACAACAAAGACGAGAGCGUCUCUGAUUGGACAACUUCGGAGCGAGAGAGUACUAGAGAAGCGCUGAUUGGCUAAAGCGGUGAAGAGUUUAAACUCUCUGAUGCGCUCGUUUAACUUUCAGGGACACUGCCGGUGAGUGGAGUCAAAUAGAGUUCCAGUCACUGAUGACCGCUCCGCCCUCUGCGGGUAUCCCAGAUGUUUGUACACGCGCUUUGUUCAUGUCAUUUUCACUGACGUAAUGUGUUUUCGUAAACCUGAUUGGCCGCUUCCUCUGGCAGGUAAAUAAACCGCACACAUGUCAACACAGUAAAUGUUUGUUUUUUAAAAACCCCAGAAGAAGAAGGUGUAUGUACGGCUCUGUCUUUACUUUGAUUUUUAUAUUUAUACUUCAUUUAGUCUUCGUAGUUAUUGAAUAGAAUUUAGCCUUUAAUUGUAUUGUUUGUUAUCUGCCUCAUUGUUUUUAUGAUUUAUGUUAAGUAGCUGCUGGAAACGCUGCAGUUUCCUUUUUGGCAUCUCUGUCUCCCUGCCUGUCUGUCUGUCUGUCUGUCUGUCUCUCUCUCUCUCUCUCUCUCUCUCCUUGGUCUGAGACGUAUGGACAGCCUGACGGAGACACUGAGGACUGACUGCACCUGACAGAACAACACUAAUCCUCUUAUCACCAGAGUGCAGCUCCUGGCCUGCAGCCUGUCCGGCUCUGUUUCUGCCACCAGGCUGAAUAAUUCAGCUGAGCUGCAGGCGAACGCACAUGAGACAGUCUGCCUCCUGCCUUCAGUGAUCAGCUGAGCAGCGCUCGCAGCUGUGAAAUCAGGCGUCAGACUGAUCUGUUUCCUGGAGCUGUUGAUCAGUUGUUCACCUGUGGCCGUCUGUAGCCUGCUCUCUGAUUGGUCGACACAUUACCGCAGGUCGAGUCUCCCCCGAAACAAGAAGACACGGUGAAGAGGUGGGGCUGUCUCCAAGCUCUGUGCAGAAUCUCCUGCACCUGCAUCUUCCUCUAUAAUCCCACUGGGUCCUGGGUCAAGUCCAGCCCUCCCUGACCCUCCGCUCUGUGAGGUUACUGUGGUUGGCUGCUCCCUCUCUGACCUCUGACCCCUGCUGGAGGUGAAGUGACGGGGCCGGGAGGGGGACGAGGUCCGUCUGAAGCUUUGGUGGUGGAAAGUAACCAAGUACAUUUACUCAGCAGCGCAUGUGAUCAGUGGUGAGAUGAGCCUCUGUGGAGAGUUUGACCCAUUGAAAGCAGCAGUUGUCAGCAGCACACGGUGCUCCACGUCCAGCUUUGAAGAGACGUCAGGACUGGGGAGAUGAGGAAGCCUUUUUAUUGCUUUACAGUUGCCUUUGUGAGGGGCCUCAGGAAACCACUCAGCCACACUAAUAGAACGUUCAAGGGGCCAAACCUUUUUGUUUCGCCUUUCUCUGCCUUUCUGUCUUAUGAACAAAAGUACAUUCCUUCACACACGUCCCCCCUGUAAGU